rnacentral:misc_RNA from 1 species
GUGCCAAUCUCUACAUAGAUGCGGGAGCAGACGCGUGCUUCGUGGAGGCGCCGCGGAGCGACGAGGAGCUGAUGGAGAUCUGCAGGAGGACCAAGGGUUAUCGCGUGUGCAACAUGCUGGAGGGCGGGAAGACGCCGCUGCACACGAGGCAGGAGCUCAUGGAGAUGGGGUUCCACCUCAUCAAGUCCCCCCUCACCACCGUCUACGCUGCCGCCCGCGCCCUCGUCGACGUCCUCGCCGCCCUCAAGCGCGCCGAGACCACCCGCGACGAGCUCCACCGCCUCACCACCUUCACCGAGUUCAACAACCUCGUCGGCCUCGACUCCUGGCUCGACAUCGAGGUUCGCUUCUCCGUCAACUCCUCCUCCUCCGUUCCCAAGCCGCUCCCGGCACCACCGGCGCUGGAGACCACGACGGA